rnacentral:rRNA from 1 species
GGGGGGGGGGCGGGGGGGGGGGGGGGGGGGGGGGGGGGGGGGGGGGGGGGGUGUAGCAAGACAGUGGCGGGCGACCGGCAAAGGGGUGCGGAACACGUACGGAACUUACCCUGAACUGGGGGAUAGGCGGGGGAAACCCGGAUUAAUACCGCGUAAUAUAAUGGAGUGGCAUCACUUUAUUAUUAAAGCUCCGGCGGUUCGGGAUGGGCGUGCGGCUGAUUAGGUAGUGGGUUGAGGUAACGGCUCACCAAGCCUACGAUCAGUAACUGGUGUGAGAGCACGACCAGUCACACGGGCACUGAGACACGGGCCCGACUCCUACGGGAGGCAGCAGUAAGGAAUAUUGGGCAAUGGAGGCAACUCUGACCCAGCCAUGCCGCGUGGAGGAUGAAGGCCCUCUGGGUUGUAAACUUCUUUUAUAGGGGACGAAACCUGUGUAUUCUUACGCAGUUGACGGUACCCUAGGAAUAAGCACCGGCUAACUCCGUG